rnacentral:rRNA from 1 species
UCCGUAGGGAGCAAGCGUUGUCCGGAAUCAUUGGGCGUAAAGCGCGCGUAGGCGGCCCGAUAAGUCCGUUGUGAAAGUCAAAGGCUCAACCUUUGAAUGCCGAUGGAUACUGUCGGGCUAGAGUCCGGAAGAGGCGAGUGGAAUUCCUGGUGUAGCGGUGGAAUGCGCAGAUAUCAGGAGGAACACCGAUAGCGAAGGCAGCUCGCUGGGACGGUACUGACGCUGAGGCGUGAAAGCGUGGGGAGCGAACAGG